AGCGCCACGGAGCGGGACCCUUGAAACUAUUAACAGUUUGCUAGACUUUUUGAGGGUGUUUCAGCUACAAAUAGUCAGACAGAAAUAAAUAUGUGAUUAGUUCAAAAGAGGCUUAUCCAAAACAAUACAGUAUUGGGGUUAUUUUUGCUUCAAACGAACGUUUAAGAAUGAAUUAUGGCGAUGAAACCAAACUCUUAGAUCGUUGUCUAUUAAUGUCUUAGUAUUUCGGACGCAAACUAGCUAAGGAACGAAGAACAGCAACUAUGCCUCCUAAGAAGCAGCAGCCGAAGCCGACGGCAGCCAACGUCUCCAGCUCGUUGGACCUGGAGUCCGAGGACCUCAGCCUGGAGACAACAGUGCCUACCACCGAGGAUGUGUCUUCGUCCGACGAGCAACGCAACGGCUCCCAGAAGGUGACCCGGCAGCUGAUCGAGAGGAAGGAGCUGCUGCACACCCUCCAGCUGCUGAAAAUAGAACUUUCUCAGAAGAACCUCAUCAUAGACAACAUGAAGGCUGACCACAUGUCCAAGGUUGAGGAACUGGAGGAGAAGCUAAACGACGCCAUACAUCAAAAACAAGUGUUGGCCCUUAAACUGGACAGCCAGCUGAAGCUUGCACAAGAAGAAAACAAGAAGCAGCAGGCUCUGCGUAAGCAGGAGAUGGAGACCAUCCUGCUGAGGCAGCAGCAGCUGGAGGAGACGAACCGCCAGCUGUGUGAGAAGGCCGGAGAGCUGCGGCGGUCUCUCCGAGAUCUGGACAUUCCCCAGGACCGCUACCAGGAGCUCCGCGGCGUGCCCGACGACAAAAUCAGCAUCCAGGAAUACGUAGCUAUGCGUUUCUAUGAGGCUGUGACUCCUCUCCGCUCUCAACUGGCUCAGCUCGGUGAGCAGAGGAGCUACUUGGCCGAGGAGCUGGAUGUACACAGAAACAAGAUGAAGCUUUUGAUGGAGAGCUACGAGGAAGAGCGGCGGCUGCGCGCCGAGCUGGAGCUGAGGAGCCAGAGGCUGACCUUAGAGCUGGCCGACACCAAACAGAACAUCCAGCAGGGCGACUAUCGCAGAGAGAACUACCCAAACAUCAAGCGGGAGCGCGAUGACUUUGAAGCGGAGCUGAAGGAGUUGAAGAGGAAGUUUGAGACGGUGGACUUGUCUCACGCUGCACUGACCAGAGAACGGGACACGCUGAGCAACGAGGUGGCGACAUUGCAACAGUCAGCGAAUCUCCUGCAGAAGGACAAGGAGUACCUAAACAGGCAAAACAUGGAGCUCAGCAUCCGCUGUGCACACCAAGAAGAUCGCAUAGACAGACUGCAGGUACAACUGGAAGAUGCGAAGAAAGCCAGGGAGAACACAUAUGAAAAAUAUGUAGCAUCCAGGGACUACUAUAAGUCAGAGUACGAGAAGAAGCUCAGAGAGGAGUUGGAGAACAUCAGACUGAAAACCAGUCAGGAGAUCGAGAACCUGCAGAGAACCUCCAGAGAACUGUAUGAGAGGGAGAACAGGAAUUUGCGCGAAGCCAGAGACAAUGCAGUGCUGGAGAAAGACCGAACCGCCGCCGCCGAGAAGGAGGCUCAGGCGAGAUACGACCAGCUGCUGGAGCAGUUUCGUCAGCUCCAGCUGGGCACUGACAGCCGGGUGGCGGAGCUGUCCAACCAGGCCAAGCUGCACUCCUUCGAAGCCGAGCGCGCUCACUUGCUCAAGGAAGAGACGGCGAAGGCGCUAGCUCAGUGCCAGGUGGAGUGUGAGAAACAGCAGAAGAAGCUUGAGUUAUUGACUCAGGAGUUUUACAGGCUCCAAACAUCGUCUGAGAAGCGGGUGGCGGAGCUUCAAGCCCAGAAUGCCGAGCAGGCGUCCCGACUGGAGACGUACGAGAAGCUGGAGCAAGAGUUGGACCAGGUCACCAUGCAGGCGGCUGAAAUUGAGAAUGAGGAGGAGGCAGAGAGAGUUCUGUUUUCAUACGGAUACGGCGCAAAUGUUCCCACAACGGCCAAAAGAAGACUGAAGCAAAGCGUUCAUCUGGCUCGCCGGGUGCUGCAGCUCGAGAGGCAGAACACCUCACUGAGGAGGGACCUGGACAGACACCAGAACCAGAUAGGACAGAUGUCUCAGGAGCUGUCUGCGGCCAACCAGCUGCUGCAGCAGACUCAGCAGCCUUACAGCUUCCUGAUCGAGACGGUGAGAGAAAAGGAUGCGGCGAUCAGCGCACUGAGGGAGCACGUCUCCUCUCUCGAGGACGACGUCAGUUCUUUGAGGAAAGAGCGAAAUGCUUUGCAGCAAGUGAAGAAUGACAUGGCAGCCGACCUGGAGCGACUUCUCAACAACAGAGAGGAGUUGGCAAUAAUGAAGCAGGCCCUGAUCAGCAUGCGGGGGACAGUGCACCCAGACCUGUUUGGAACCGGUAUCAGCGGUACGAAGCCCUCUGGAACAGCACAGCAGAAGUCCAAACGUGUCGGCGGGACCAACGAUGAGGAAUCGUCAGACAAGCCCAAACCUACUGUUUUUGUAAGCGUUGGUCACACCCUUUAAUGAGUCACACCAAUUUAACCAGCUGGGACAAAAGCUGAGACAAAAGAACACUCGAGUCUGACAUUAAAUAAUUAAUUGCUUUCCUGUUCUUUUUAUUAUUAUUACUCUUAACCUUUUUUAUUUCACAAGAAAAAUCCCUUUCAGAUUAAACAUCUCUUUUUCAAGAAAAUCCUAGCCAAGACCGGUUGUGGUUAAUUUCAUUUAAGCUCUUUAGCGAAGUCCAUCUGAGUAGAGAAGAGCUCUGGAACAAGUCCCAGAAGUGAUGCCAAACCACUAGUAGUCCGAAUAUAGACUGAGCGAUGAUCGACCAAAAAAGAAGCUCCUGAUUGGUACCAAAGGCCAAAGCAGAAACACAAAUAAGAAUUCACACAACGCCACUCACUCAGGAUUUAAACAAUUACAUUUCAGGACUCUAAAUCUGUUUUUUCUUGUAAAUUGUGUUACUUUUUAACAACUUUUCAAAUACAAAGCUAGAACCAAUUUCUAUCUGUGUUGGAGUUUUUUUUUUAUUUUUUUUUUUUGUACUGUUACUCACCAAUUGCACCAGAAUUCCUUUUAUGUUGGCAGCAUUUGGUUUGUCACUGUUCAUUCCUCAUCUUUUUCUGGCGACACUUGCUGGUUGCUACAGACAAACAACACUGCAGAAACCUUAGCCUUUGAUUUGCACUAGCUGAAACUCCUUUGGCUUUAAAUAUAGACAUACUAGGCAUGCCUUUAUCAUUUCAGACCAUGUUCUGAUUGGUGUCAUAUUAAACUCAGUCACACGGCUGCUGUGAAAGCCGGGCUGCGACAUUUUCAACUGUUUUCUGUUAACACUUCAAAAUAUUAAGUACAAAAUGGUGCAAAUAUAGCUUCCAGUUCCUGGUUGACAUGACUCAUGGUGUUUCCUAAGUGACCUUUAGUGUUUUUCUUUUGACUGUAGAGAUUGAGCAGAUUAAUGAUGACUUUAUGAUGUCAAGAAAUCACUGGUUUGGUUGUGUAAGCACAUUUGAGUUUUGUCAUCAGAAGCUGUGCAAGAACCGGACUGAAUAAUGGCUUCUGACUCAAUGAACAAAGCAAAAUCCUAGUAAAAGCACACUUGUCCUAGGCACUUUUUUGUCACAUUAUUAUCUCAAACAUCAAUGUAUUUCAUUGGAAUUUUAUGUAAAAGGAUUUGUGUGUGUGUGUGUGUCCUUUUUUGUAUCUAGCCCCUGUAGUUUGUUACCUUUAAAUAAAAUCUAG